rnacentral:rRNA from 1 species
UACGUAGGGUGCGAGCGUUAAUCGGAAUUACUGGGCGUAAAGCGUGCGCAGGCGGUGAUGUAAGACCGAUGUGAAAUCCCCGGGCUUAACCUGGGAACUGCAUUGGUGACUGCAUUGCUCGAGUAUGGCAGAGGGGGGUGGAAUUCCACGUGUAGCAGUGAAAUGCGUAGAGAUGUGGAGGAACACCGAUGGCGAAGGCAGCCUCCUGGGCCAGCACUGACGCUCAUGCACGAAAGCGUGGGGAGCGAACAGG